CUCAGCUCCUCGAGCGAAAUACACAAAAAGGAGCGAGAGGUUUGAACCAUUGGGGAAAAAAAUAUGUUAUAUGUAGCAGGUUUACAGAGGCGAGUAAGAGAAAAAAAAAAUAAUAAACACCACAGCUCUUUCCAGCUAGAAUAUUAGGCACCACGAGAAAAAUAUUUGCCAAGCCGUUUCGAGGACAGGCUGGCCCCUCACGCAAGAGAACCCAGGAACACAACUGAAAAUGGGUCUGCAGGGUUUGAUGGUCCAGUGUCAUUUUAGAGGAUCAGGGUGACCUGACAACUUGGGUUUGGAGAACCCUUUCGGCUGCCUGAAAUUCGAGUCAUUAAACUGUUCCCUGAGGUCAGAGGACAGACACUCGGUGCAGGUUUCCUACAGGUCCGUGUCUAUGUAACCUGUGUACAUACAGGGACACACACACGAAAAUGUAACUGCGGGGGCACAGUGUAGGGAGAAGGAGAAAACUGAGUUUGUUGCCAAAAAAAACCUUGGUUUCUAAUUACAGAUCUGCCUCGAAUGCCUUAUGGGACACUGAGCAAAGCCACUUGUGAGGACGCCGUUCCCUCAACAACGGUGUGAAGGGUAACCCCGAGGAUGUGCAGGCUCCCUGUCUGCUCCAAGUUCUAUACCUUUACAUCUAAGUACAUAUUUACUUAACUUUUCCGUGGGGGAGAUGGAAAGGAGCUGUGUCUAUUCUGUGUGUGCCUGAGCUGAGGGAAGGGGUUAAAAUGUAAACUUCUAGGUAAAGAAGGCUGUCCCAGAAUCCUCACCUCUAUCAAUUUUUAACCAGUUGUAGACCAAAGUCUAGGAUUCUGCUGCGUGGGUCCAAGAACCAAUUGAAGAUUUUAAACAUUAAAAGUCAUAGGAGACAGGUUCUAAGACCUUGUACUUUUGCUCUCCAGCAUUUAUAAUCAGACUAGACAGUUCCUGAGUGUCUUUUCUGCCCUAUAGUUGUUUUUUUUUUUUUUUUUCUCUAUUUGUUUUUGGAAACAGUCCCGGUCAAUGGUAGGGAGGAGAUGACAUUUGUACACUGGAUAAUUUUUAAGCUACUGGGAUGCAUGUAGCUGUGAAAGAUAUGUCAUAACAGUCACAAAUGCGUGCGCAUGCACGCGCACACACACAUACAUAAAAAAGAUAAGAAAAGCUUAAGAAAUUCCUGGUAAUAAGCUUAGAGGCAACACAGCCGUCACUGCAUUAAGUCAGAGGAAAUAACAAAUGAGGAGUUUGCCCUUACCAAAAAUAAAAAGAGAGAGAGAGAGAAAACAAGAAAGAAAAAGUCUUGAUCUAUCUGAAAACACUUGAAAGCAAUAAAAGAUUGUUUC